rnacentral:misc_RNA from 1 species
GGACUACUGGGGUUUCUAAUCCUGUUUGCUCCCCACGCUUUCGUGCCUCAGCGUCAGUACUGGUCCAGAUGGCCGCCUUCGCCACGGGUGUUCCUCCCGAUCUCUACGCAUUUCACCGCUACACCGGGAAUUCCACCAUCCUCUACCGUACUCUAGCCUGCCAGUAUCCACUGCAAUUCCCAGGUUGAGCCCAGGGCUUUCACAACGGACUUAACAGACCGCCUACGCACGCUUUACGCCCAGUAAUUCCGAGUAACGCUUGCACCCUUCGUAUUACCGCGGCUGCUGACAC